UAAGGACCACCCUGUAAGGAGGGUUUGGGUCUCCUUCGCCAUGCUUAGUUAGCCACAGGUCACUUUGACACGCCGAGCAAAAGGACUGCCCUGUAACCGGGGUGUAAGGUCUUAUCCCUCUCCUUCGUAAACUAGGAGAGCCUCUUUCUGCCUGUGGCUGAGUGACCCCCCUUUAAGAAGGGUUGAGGUUCUCGUUCUGUUAGUCGCAGUAAAUUCCCCUAGAAUGAUUUCUAUUUGGCUUUUUUGGGCUUUGACGUGAAAUCUGGUUUGUGACCCAUGUAUUUCUUCUCCGGGUCACAUGUAACCUGGUGUGGCGAAGGGGCGGCUGUAAGGGGAUGGUGGAGGCCGUGGAAAAUUCGACCCUUCUUUCCCAGAGAGCCAAGAAAUCGUCCCAAAAUCCAUAUGUCACAAAGUCUGGAACUGAACAGGUGAGGAAGGGGGCUCUUUUCAGAGCCUCACUUCCAGGCGAUCCUUCCUCAUUUCCUCUUGCCCUGCCCAAUUUACACUGCCCAGUCAACCUCAGCUUUGAGCCCUUGUUUUAUUCGGCACAAGACAUUGCUGGAUGGAUUAGUGUGAAUCGUAGAGAGUCGGAGAGCUCUGUAAGUUGCGUCCGAAUUCCAGGCCUUUUGUUUCUUUGGUGAUAGACCGAGGCUAUUCCUAGGCCUAUGUUUGAAGUGAGGGAUGUGGCUGUCCUUUCGGAAAUGUGGUGAUGCUCAGCUGGUGUAGGUACGUGGAGUGGUAUUCAGAGCUGGCACGUGGGUGCACCUAACCCUAUUAACAGGACUGUGUCCAAGUAAGGGGUGUCCUUUUUGGUCAAGGUUAGGGGGCACAAAGUUGAAAUUUUCUUGGUGGGGUAGAAAGGUAAGUCGGGAAGGGUGUUGCCGAGGGAUGGAGGAUUUAAUGGUAAUGGGAGACUGAGCGGGAUUCCUCCCUCCCACCUGUUCAUUUCCAGAUGUUUUCACAUUGGGGACUUCCCCCCACCUCACCCCCCGCGCUUCUUGAAAGGAGGAAUAUUUUUCUAAAGAAAGGGUGACCGCCCUGUACUCAGGGAUCAGGUCUCUUUCCCGUUUCUCCUCUCUGCAUUGGCCCUCUGAAUGCCAAAGUCACUUGCUGGGCAAAGAGACCCCCCUCUACCGAGGGAAUGGAGGUCUCUCCUUGUCCGCCCGCUUGGCUGCGGCCCUCUGUGAUGCCCCUGGCUUAAGGACCACCCUGUAAGGAGGGUUUGGGUCUCCUUCGCCAUGCUUAUGUAGCCACAGGUCACUUUGACACGCCGGGCAAAAGGACUGCCCUGUAACCAGGGUGUAAGGUCUUAUCCCUCUCAUUCUUAAACUAGGAGAGCCUUUUUUCUUGCCUGUGGCUGAGUGACCCCCCCUCUAAGAAGGGUCGAGGUCUCUCUGGCUCUCUAUUAUUUAGGACCCAGGCUUUACAAUGCCCUGUGCCAUUGACCUCUCCCUGUAAAGAGGGUGCAGGUCUCCCCUUUCGAGCUUGUCUUGGGCCGCUGGCACUUGCUGGGCAAAGAGACCACCCUCUACUGAGGGAAUGGAGGUCUCUCCUCUUCAGCGCUCUUGGCUCUGGCCCAUUGAAAUGUCCCUGGCUUAAGGACCACCCUGUAAGGAGGGUUUGGGUCUCCUUCGCCAUGCUUAGUUAGCCACAGGUCACUUUGACACGCCGGCAAAAGGACUGCCCUGUAACCAGGGUGUAAGGUCUUAUCCCUCUCCUUCGUAAACUAGGAGAGCCCCUUUGUGCCUGUGGCUGAGUGACCCCCCUUUAAGAAGGGUUGAGGUUCUCCUUCUGCUGGUCACAGUAAAUUGCACUCGAAUGAUUUCUACUUGGCUUUUCUGGGUUCUGAAGUGAAAUCUGAUUUGUGUCCUAUGUAUUUCCCGUCCGGGUCACAUGUAACCUGGUGUGGCGAAGGGGCGGCUGUAAGGGGAUGGUGGAGGCCGUGAAAAAUUCAACCCUUUCUUCAAAAAAGCCAAGAAAUCACCAAAGUCCAAAGUGAGCUCCCUCUAACUAGGGUGCAGGUCUUUCCCCAGAUUACACUCCCCUUUGAAAGGUAGUUCUAGAAACCAGCCUCUUGAGAGAGCUAAGGGUUUGCCCUUGUAGCUGUCCUGUGCCCGUGGCCUCCUCACGCUCUCAGCCAAGUCAAAGCCCAGCGUAUUCUGCAUCCAGCCGGCCCUGAGUUCUGCUGCAAGCUCUCCUGCCUUCUGCUACGGAUUGGUGCCGAAACCUAGGAAUUGGGCAACUCAAAGGACAAAAGGAAGACGACGACAGAAGCACCAAAGAAACUGCAGGAAAAGAGAAGAGAAGAAAAGGCCAGUCAAAAACCACGCACACAUUGCAGACAUGGCCCUUCCGGUGGCAUUUACACUUCUCCACGUAGGCUUAAUCCCCCUUGAGGCGCCAGGGAAAAGGACCUCUCUGUAAACGGGGAUCAAGGUCCACUCCUUGCCAAGAGAAAUGCUUUCUGGGCCCAUUCCGCACCUGCGGCUGAGUGACCGCCCUUUAAGAAGGGUUGAGGUCUCUGUGCAUUUCAGCUCUUUAGGACCGCGCCUUUAACAUGCCCGGUGCCACUGACCCCUCCCUGUAAGAAGGGUGCGGGUCUCCCCUUUCGAGCUUGUCUUGGGCCGCUGGCACUUGCUGGGCAAAGAGACCACCCUCUACUGAGGGAACGGAGGUCUCUCCUCUUCAGCGCUCUUGGCUCUGGCCCAUUGAAAUGUCCCUGGCUUAAGGACCACCCUGUAAGGAGGGUUUGGGUCUCCUUCGCCAGCCUUAUUUAGCCACAGGUCCCCUUGACAUGCCCGGCAAAAGGACUGCCCUGUAACCGGGGUGUAAGGUCUUAUCCCUCUCCUUCGUAAACAGGAGUGCCUCUUUGUGCCUGUGGCUGAGUGACCCCCCCUCUAAGAAGGGUCGAGGUCUCUCUGGCUUUCUACUAUUUAGGACCUAGCCUUUAAAAUGCCCUGUGCCAUUGACCUCUCCCUGUAAGAAGGGUGCGGGUCUCCCCUUUCGAGCUUGUCUUGGGCCGCUGGCACUUGCUGGGCAAAGAGACCACCCUCUACUGAGGGAAUGGAGGUCUCUCCUCUUCAGCGCUCUUGGCUCUGGCCCAUUGAAAUGUCCCUGGCUUAAGGACCACCCUGUAAGGAGGGUUUGGGUCUCCUUCGCCAUGCUUAGUUAGCCACAGGUCACUUUGACACGCCGAGCAAAAGGACUGCCCUGUAACCGGGGUGUAAGGUCUUAUCCCUCUCCUUCGUAAACUAGGAGAGCCUCUUUCUGCCUGUGGCUGAGUGACCCCCCUUUAAGAAGGGUUGAGGUUCUCGUUCUGUUAGUCGCAGUAAAUUCCCCUAGAAUGAUUUCUAUUUGGCUUUUUUGGGCUUUGACGUGAAAUCUGGUUUGUGACCCAUGUAUUUCUUCUCCGGGUCACAUGUAACCUGGUGUGGCGAAGGGGCGGCUGUAAGGGGAUGGUGGAGGCCGUGGAAAAUUCGACCCUUCUUUCCCAGAGAGCCAAGAAAUCGUCCCAAAAUCCAUAUGUCACAAAGUCUGGAACUGAACAGGUGAGGAAGGGGGCUCCUUUCAGAGCCUCACUUCCAGGCGAUCCUUCCUCAUUUCCUCUUGCCCUGCCCAAUUUACACUGCCCAGUCAACCUCAGCCUUGAGCCCUUGUUUUAUUCGGCACAAGACAUUGCUGGAUGGAUUAGUGUGAAUCGUA